GAUGAACGCUGGCGGCGUGCCUAAUACAUGCAAGUCGAGCGAAGCGGGGACGGGUGAGUAACACGUGGAUAACCUCCUAUAAGACUGGGAUAACUUCGGGAAACCGGAGCUAAACCGGAUAAUUAUAGAUGGAUACGCGCUGUAUUAGCUAGUUGGUAAGGUAACGGCUUACCAAGGCAACGCUGCAUAGCCGGUAUGAGAGGGUGAUCGGCCACACUGGACCGGAUACACGGUCCAGACUCCUACGUGAGGCAGCAGUUGUGAAUAUUCCGCAAUGGGCGAAAGCCUGACGGAGCCAUGCCGCGUGAGGGAUGAAGGUCUUCGGAUCGUAAAACUCUGUUAUUAGGGAGGCGGUACCUAAUCAACAAGCCACGGCUAACUACGUGCCAGCCGCCGCGGUAAUAC
rnacentral:rRNA from 1 species